rnacentral:rRNA from 1 species
CCAGGGGCAUGCCCAGUACGGCGAGUGAAGCGGCAAAAGCUCAAAUUUGAAAUCCUGCGGGAAUUGUAAUUUGAAGGUUUCGUGGUCUGAGUCGGCCGCGCCCAAGUCCAUUGGAACAUGGCGCCUGGGAGGGUGAGAGCCCCGUCCGGCGCACGCCGACUCUUUGCACCGCGGCUCCGACGAGUCGAGUUGUUUGGGAAUGCAGCUCUAAGUGGGUGGUAAAUUCCAUCUAAAGCUAAAUAUUGGCGAGAGACCGAUAGCGAACAAGUACAGUGAUGGAAAGAUGAAAAGCACUUUGAAAAGAGAGUGAAACAGCACGUGAAAUUGUUGAAAGGGAAGGGCUUGCAAGCAGACACGGUUUUACCGGGCCAGCGUCAAAUAAACGGGGGGGAAAAGGGGGAAAGAAUGUGGCGCGUGCCUUCGGGUUCGCGUGUUAUAGCUUUCUCUAAUACCCCCAUGUUUGUUUGAGGCCUGCGAUUCUAGGACGCUGGCGUAAUGGUUGCAAGCCGCCCGUCUUGAAACACGGACCCAA